rnacentral:misc_RNA from 1 species
AUUUACAAUAAAUCACGGGAUAGCCCCAAAAAUGUAGUGGCGGAGUCUUACUUAUUGAGAGAUACACAGCAUAAUAUAUGAUAAAAUGAUCAAGAGCAACCAUGUAUAAUGAUGGAAAGUCCUUAGAUGAAAUUGCCUGUGAAGACAUAUAUUCAAAUGAUGAUGAUGAUGAUGAUGAUGAUGAUGAUGAUGAUGAUGAUGAUGAUGUUGGAAAAGAACGAGCCAGAAAAAAGAAAACUGGACCUAAGCCUUCAAAACUCCCGACAGACAAAGAUGUGAGUGAUGAACAUGAUGGCAAUGAUGAUCAUAAUGAUGAAGAUGGGGAUGAUCAUGUAGGGAAAGAACGAGCUAGAAAAUAGAAAACUGGUCCUAAGCCUUCAAAACUCCUUACAGGUAAAACUGUAUGUCGAGAGGAAGAGGAAGCAAAUUCAAUAAAGAAGCCUUUCAAGAAUUGUGGGAACAUUUUUUUAGGACUUUUUGCAAUUGGUUUUUGUUUGUCGUCAUGUGGUGUUCAUUUUGUGCUGACAAUUAAAUAAUUUUAAUUUCUUUCAAACUACAUGGCCUAAUUUUUCCAAAUUCUUUCGAUAUGAUGUAUAAUUUGGGUAAGGGGAACAUAAAUGGUAAUUUCAUUUCUCUUCCACACUGUGUCCUUGGUCAGCAGGGCCAAAAUGCUAAAAAGAAAAUCUAUACUUCCACACAUCUGAAAGAAAACUGAAUUCAGUUGUAAAUUUUAUAUUAGUUUUUUUACUCCAGAGUGUAGUUUAAUUACAUGCAUAUAUGAUAUUCCUUUAUUGAGGUCUGUGUCUGGGCUAGUUACUCAGGUGACCGUUAAUGCCUGUUGGCCUGUUUGGUUUAAAAACAAUUCAAUUUUAUACACAAAGAAGUGAUUUUGUGUUAGAACUUGAAGAAUCACCUUGCUUUUUUAGUGUGUAAACAUCACUGUUCAAAUUUAUUGAAAUUUUCAAAAAAUUGAUUGUUUUUAAACUGGGAAUUAAUUCCUUUGAAAGAUUGUUUAUUCAUUUAACAAAGCUGUAUUUUACUUAUUGAUAAGUGAAAAUACAUUGGAUAAUUUUCUUUUCUUUGCACGUAUGUAUUUUUUCUAAAUAACGACAAAGUAAUUUCAAUGAAUUAAUAAAGAUUAAAAAAAAACGGGAAUUAAUUCCUUUGAAAUAUUGUUUAUUCAUUUAACAAAGCUGUAUUUUACUUAUUAAUAAGUGAAAAUAUAUUGGAUGAUUUUCUUUUCGUUGUACGUAUGUAUUUUGUUUAUAAUGACAAAGUCAUUUUGAUGAAUUAAUAAAG